rnacentral:other from 1 species
CUGCUGCUCGCUCGCCGGGGGAGACUUAAAAGAAUCCCGAACACCAAAACCCCCGGGGCCCAACUUCGGCUGUGGUGUGCAGGCCCAGACUUUUUCACUGGGGAGCCUAAAGCAGCCAGACAGGCCCCACCUUGUAAAAGUGGUAAGGGGUUCUCGUGUCUCCCCCGGCGAGCCAGCAGCCAG